rnacentral:rRNA from 1 species
GACGGAGGGUGCAAGCGUUGUUCGGAAUUACUGGGCGUAAAGGGCGCGUAGGCGGUCUGUUAAGUUCGGUGUGAAAGCCCCCGGCUCACCUGGGGAACUGCGCCGGAAACCGACAGACUCGAGUACCGGAGAGGAGGGUGGAAUUCCUGGUGUAGCGGUGAAAUGCGUAGAUAUCUGGAGGAACACCGGUGGCGAAGGCGGCAUCCUGGACCAACAUUGACGCUGGGGAGCGAAAGCGUGGGGAGCAAACAGG